CCUACGGGAGGCAGCAGUGGGGAAUAUUGCACAAUGGGGGAAACUCUGAUGCAGCGACGCCGCGUGAGCGAUGAAGUAUUUCGGUAUGUAAAGCUCUAUCAACAGGGAAGAAAGUGACGGUACCUGAAUAAGAAGCCCCGGCUAACUAUGUGCCAGGGGCCGCGGUAAUACGUAGGGGGCAAGCGCGAUCCGGAUUUACUGGGUGUAAAGGGAGCGUAGAUGGCUUGGCAAGCCAGAUGUGAAAGGCCGGGGCGCAACACCAGGACUGCAUUUGGAAUUGUCAUGCUAGAGUGUCGGGGAGGCAGGCGGAAUUCCUAGUGUAGCGGUGAAAUGCGUAGAUAUUAGGAGGAACACCAGUGGCGAAGGCGGCCUUCUGGACGAUGACUGACGUUGAGGCUCGAAAGCGUGGGGAGCAAACAGGAUUAGAUACCCUGGUAGUC
rnacentral:rRNA from 1 species